rnacentral:rRNA from 1 species
GAUGAACGCUGGCGGCGUGCCUAAUACAUGCAAGUCGAGCGAAUGACGAGGAGCUUGCUCCUCUGAUUUAGCGGCGGACGGGUGAGUAACACGUGGGUAACCUGCCUGUAAGACGGGGAUAACUCCGGGAAACCGGAGCUAAUACCGGAUGAUAACGAGAAGCGCCUGCUUCUUUUUUGAAAGUCGGUUUCGGCUGACGCUUACAGAUGGGCCCGCGGCGCAUUAGCUAGUUGGUGAGGUAACGGCUCACCAAGGCGACGAUGCGUAGCCGACCUGAGAGGGUGAUCGGCCACACUGGGACUGAGACACGGCCCAGACUCCUACGGGAGGCAGCAGUAGGGAAUCUUCGGCAAUGGACGAAAGUCUGACCGAGCAACGCCGCGUGAGCGAUGAAGGCCUUCGGGUCGUAAAGCUCUGUUGUCAGAGAAGAACAAGUACCGGAGUAACUGCCGGUACCUUGACGGUACUUGACCAGAAAGCCACGGCUAACUACGUGCCAGCCGCCGCCGUAA